rnacentral:rRNA from 1 species
AAUAGAUACUCUGGUAGUCCACGCCGUAAACGAUGGAUGCUAGCUAUUGGGGGGAAUCGACCCCCUCCGAAGCGAAGCUAACGCGUUAAGCAUCCCGCCUGAGUAGUACGAGCGCAAGCUUAAAACUCAAAGGAAUUGACGGGGACCCGCACAAGCGGUGGAGCGUGUGGUUUAAUUCGAUGGUAAACGAAGAACCUUACCAAGGUUUGACAUCCCGGUAGCCGUUCUCCGAAAGGAGAAUUUCAUUUAGUUGGACCGGUGACAGGUGAUGCAUGGCCGUCGUCAGCUCGUGUCGUGAGAUGUUGGGUUAAGUCCCGCAACGAGCGCAACCCUUAUGAUUUAGUUGGAUUUUUCUAAACAGACUGCCCUGGUAACAGGGAGGAAGGAGGGGAUGAUGUCAGGUCAGUAUUUCCCUUACACCUUGGGCGACACACGCGCUACAAUGGCCGGUACAAUGGGCAGCUAAGCCGCGAGGUGGAGCAAAUCCCAUCAAAGCCGGUCCCAGUUCGGAUUGCAGGCUGAAACCCGCUGCAUGAAGCCGGAAUCGCU